ACUCGCGCUUUCAUUCAAGCGCGAAGCCGAUAGUCUCUGUUUGCCAGAACGAAUAUAGAUUUUCUCACAUCUCCCGUAAAUUAACCGAUAAGAUACGUGAAAAUAAAACAGUUGGUUCCUUUAUAUAUAUAUAUUUUUUUUAGAUCUGCUUUUCAGUUAACGAAAACGUUGAUGUUUUCCUGUUGAUCCAAAUGCCAGUUUGACACAAUAUACGAUUUGAAAUCGUUUGGAAGGUUGCCGCGAGAGUCGUUUUUAGAAACGUUAAAUGUCGGUUUUAAUCCGGCCGGUGGAGAUCAGUAUAAUGACGAAUACGAACAAAAUAUCGAGGAAAGUGGAAUAGCUCUUAAAAGAAGGACGCGUCGCGAACGAUACGAGAUGAUGCGAUGCGAUGCGAUGCGAUACGAUACGAUACGAUUUAAAUGGAGACGGUUGCCAAUAGGCAAGCAGUAGGAAUGGUUUUCGUGCUUGCCUUUCAACACGAUACAUACGGUGAUAUUGCGGCCCUCCCUGGCAGACCGUCUCGACGCAUUGCGUCUAAUUUGAUCGAAACUCGAGACUAGCUAAGUAAGAGUCUACCAACGUAAUCGAACAACGAGCGAACACCUCUCUUUUCUACCAUUCUAUUAGAUUGUCCCGAAAGUCCUUUUCGUUUUGUCGAACGUAUGUUUUACGAUUUGAUAGCGAAAAUUGCUAGAGAUACAUUUAUUCAGGGAGGGGAUUUUUUCAACAGAAGGAAUAGAUAAUAAUCAGAGGGAAUGUGUUACCUCGUCCUUCAUGCUCCCCAGAUAUCACACUCGUCUGAUUACUAUCUAUUCCUCUUUCAUUUAAAAAGUGAAACAAAUGACAUGGAGCAGACGAGAAUACACCUUUACAAGGUGUAACAAUAUUUCGUUAGCAGAUACCAGAAGUUUUGGAUGACAUUGUGAAGCUUCCGGAGUGACGGGGAGGGUAACGAAACAGAGUGGAUUAUAUAUAAUUCAAUAACACGGUGUGAAACAUUGUGCAUACAUUACUCAUUAAUAAAACAAAA